rnacentral:rRNA from 1 species
AGCAGCCGCGGUAAUUCCAGCUCCAAUAGCGUAUAUUAAAGUUGUUGCAGUUAAAAAGCUCGUAGUUGAAUUUCGGGAUCAAUAUAUCGGUCGUGCCAUCGGUACGUACUGGUAUCAUUGGUUUCUCCUUUCUGACGAACCAUGAUGUCAUUAAUUUGGUGUUAUGGGAAGUUAGGACUGUUACUUUGAAAAAUUAGAGUGUUUAAAGCAGGCUUUGGCUUGAAUACAUUAGCAUGGAAUAAUGAAAUAGGACGUUCGAACCUAUUUUGUUGGUUUCUAGGAUCAACGUAAUGAUUAAUAGGGAUAGUUGGGGGCAUUAGUAUUCAAUUGUCAGAGGUGAAAUUCUUGGAUUUAUUGAAGACUAACUACUGCGAAAGCAUUUGCCAAGGAUGUUUUCAUUAAUCAAGAACGAAAGCUAGGGGAUCGAAGACGAUCAGAUACCGUCGUAGUCUUAACCAUAAACUA